rnacentral:lncRNA from 1 species
AUGCCAGGAGGAAUCGGCUGUGAGCUGCCCAAGCAGCCCCUGCUUGUGGCCCCCCAUGCACAGAGAUGCUCAUGUUCCCCCCGUGCACAGCAAUGCCCUCGCUCCCCCGUGCACAGAGAUGCCCAUGUUGCCCCAUGCACAGCAAUGCCCUCGCUCCCCCGUGCGUGGAGAUGCUCGUGUCCCCCUGUGCAUGGAGCUGCCCGUGCAGCCACACGGGCCUGGCCCCACUUGCCACCCCUCCACGUGGCUUGCCCAGCCCGGGGCAGACAGCACAGAGGGCAUUGCCGCYGGCUCCGGCUCUGCUCGCACAGUGCCCCAGGGCCGCCCCUCCGCGAGCCCCRCUGCUCCGGGGCGGGGGGUCCCUGGACACAAAGGGCAGGAAGCGGUGGCCCCCCCRUGGCCCCUUUUGUGUCCUGGCGGGUGGCGAGGCAGCGCUGGGCACGGCUGUCAGGGCGCAUUUUCCACCCCAGCCCUGAGCCCCUUUGCCCGCCGGGCUGGAACACGGCGCUUUGUCAGGGAAUUGAUGCCCCUCGCCGGGGCCUUUUCUCCUGCCCGAGAUGGGAACUGGCAGGUCGACAAAAGGCCCCGGCCCCGGCGCUCCAUGGUGCUGCACCGCGGGCCGUGGCCUGCCCUCCGGCGCCGGGGUGGGAGCGGGGUCCGGAGGGGCCGUGCAGCCCCCCGAAGGGCCGGGAGCAGGCGAUGCCGCAGGAGGAGGUCGCCCCUUGCACAGCGCCCGGGACCCCGCUGCGGCCAGCUGCCAUUGCCCUGGCCCUGCAGGCUGCUGAGGGGGGAGGCAGAGCCGCACCGGAGCAUCCGCUGGGAGACAGGGAAAUGGCUCCGUGUCACUAUGGAAACAGGGCCGCCAGCUCCGUCACCACCGAGGGGGAGAGGCACGUGCCAAGCCCGGGGGGAGCGGGGUGCCGGGGCGAGCCCCCACCCCAUGCAUACCACCGCCGCCGGGGCCCCACGCGCGGCCCCAGCCUGGGCACCGCGGUCCCGUCGCCUCCCCACUGCUCCCGCCCUGCCGAACCCGCUGGGCACCAGAGCAGCUUUGCACCCUGCCAUGGCACCUGGGAUGCUCCAUGCUGCAGUGCCCGGGACGCCCCGGGCCGGCUCUCGAUCAGGUCACCGAUGCCACAGGGCGCGAUGCCGCCCGGCCGUGCAGCUCUGCCCCGGUGCAGCCGGUGUGAGGCUGGAGCCGGCGCUUCCACGAGCCGCCGUCUGAUGAUGCGCAUUGUCAAGGUUAUAAUUUAG